CUGAGAGGGCUGCUAAGAAGGUUACUCCGAUAUAGUAAACAGUGAGAGAAUUUCUUCCUCAGU
rnacentral:tRNA from 1 species